CUUCUGCGCCUAGAUCGACAGCGUUCGGCCGCUGGUGCCCGGCGCCAAGCUCCACGCCGUCAUCGAGCGUGCCACAACGAUUCUGUCCUCGACCUCCCCUUCCUCUGCAACAUGUCCAGGACCGGGAACUGGCAGUGGGAGGAUCACCGUCCACCGUCGGGUGUCUGCAAGGCAAAUCAGAUCAACCACCACAUCGGAGUGAAAAGUCUGGCGCCACUCUGCCUCACAUAGCCAAAAAAUGUAUCAGGUGAUUAAGAACCAUCCCAACUCAUUGAAGCUUUAUGAGCAGAAACUGCUAGGAACGGGUGAAGUCAUGAAAGAAGAUGUCCAGAGGAUCCAUGUCAAGGUGAACCGAAUCUUGAACGAAGAGUUUGCUAAGAGCAAAGACCACGUUCCCAACAAGAGGGAUUGGCUCUAAGCUUACUGGACUGGCUUUAAGUCACCAGAGCAAAUAUCACGUGUUCGCAACACUGGGGUGAAGCCUGAAAUACUGAAACGUGUAGGUCAGGCAAUUACUACACUGCCUGAAAACUUCAAACCACAUAGAGCAAUGAAGAAGAUUUUUGAGCUGCAUGCAGCUACGAUAGAGAGUGGUCAAGGAAUUGAUUGGGCUGUUGCCGAAGCCCUGGCCUUUGCAACACUUAUAGUGGAAGGAAAUCAUGUUAGGCUAAGUGGACAGGAUGUGGAAAGAGGAACUUUCAGCCAUCGGCAUGCAGUUCUGCAUGAUCAUGAAACUGGAGCAAAGUACUGCCCACUUGACCAUGUUGCAAUGAAUCAAAAUGAGGAGCUAUUUACUGUUAG